GAUGAACGCUGGCGGCGUGCCUAACACAUGCAAGUCGAGCGAUCUUCUUCGGAAGAGAGCGGCGGACGGGUGAGUAACGCGUGGGUAACCUGCCCUGUACACACGGAUAACAUACCGAAAGGUAUGCUAAUACGAGAUAAUAUGCUUUUGUCGCAUGGUAGAAGUAUCAAAGCUAUGGCGGUACAAGAUGGACCCGCGUCUGAUUAGCUAGUUGGUAAGGUAACGGCUUACCAAGGCGACGAUCAGUAGCCGACCUGAGAGGGUGAUCGGCCACAUUGGAACUGAUACACGGUCCAAACUCCUACGGGAGGCAGCAGUGGGGAAUAUUGCACAAUGGGCGAAAGCCUGAUGCAGCAACGCCGCGUGAGCGAUGAAGGCCUUCGGGUCGUAAAGCUCUGUCCUCAAGGAAGAUAAUGACGGUACUUGAGGAGGAAGCCCCGGCUAACUACGUGCCAGCAGCCGCCGUAAGAC
rnacentral:rRNA from 1 species